GCCCCCAUCGUCUAGUGGCCUAGGACGAAGCCCUCUCAAGGCUUAAACGGGGAUUCGAAUUCCCCUGGGGGCACCA
rnacentral:tRNA from 1 species